rnacentral:rRNA from 1 species
CCUUGAGGCGUGGCUUCCGGAGCUAACGCGUUAAGUCGACCGCCUGGGGAGUACGGCCGCAAGGUUAAAACUCAAAUGAAUUGACGGGGGCCCGCACAAGCGGUGGAGCAUGUGGUUUAAUUCGAUGCAACGCGAAGAACCUUACCUACUCUUGACAUCCAGGGAACUUAGCAGAGAUGCUUUGGUGCCUUCGGGAACUGUGAGACAGGUGCUGCAUGGCUGUCGUCAGCUCGUGUUGUGAAAUGUUGGGUUAAGUCCCGCAACGAGCGCAACCCUUAUCCUUUGUUGCCAGCGGUUCGGCCGGGAACUCAAAGGAGACUGCCAGUGAUAAACUGGAGGAAGGUGGGGAUGACGUCAAGUCAUCAUGGCCCUUACGAGUAGGGCUACACACGUGCUACAAUGGCAUAUACAAAGAGAAGCGACCUCGCGAGAGCAAGCGGACCUCAUAAAGUAUGUCGUAGUCCGGAUUGGAGUCUGCAACUCGACUCCAUGAAGUCGGAAUCGCUAGUAAUCGUGGAUCAGAAUGCCACGGUGAAUACGUUCCCGGGCCUUGUACACACCGCCCGUCACACCAUGGGAGUGGGUUGCAAAAGAAGUAGGUAGCUUAACC